rnacentral:rRNA from 1 species
GCGGCGGACGGGUGAGUAAUGCUUAGGAAUCUGCCUAUUAGUGGGGGACAACAUCUCGAAAGGGAUGCUAAUACCGCAUACGUCCUACGGGAGAAAGCAGGGGACCUUCGGGCCUUGCGCUAAUAGAUGAGCCUAAGUCGGAUUAGCUAGUUGGUGGGGUAAAGGCCUACCAAGGCGACGAUCUGUAGCGGGUCUGAGAGGAUGAUCCGCCACACUGGGACUGAGACACGGCCCAGACUCCUACGGGAGGCAGCAGUGGGGAAUAUUGGACAAUGGGGGGAACCCUGAUCCAGCCAUGCCGCGUGUGUGAAGAAGGCCUUUUGGUUGUAAAGCACUUUAAGCGAGGAGGAGGCUACCGAGAUUAAUACUCUUGGAUAGUGGACGUUACUCGCAGAAUAAGCACCGGCUAACUCUGUGCCAGCAGCCGCGGUAAUACAGAGGGUGCAAGCGUUAAUCGGAUUUACUGGGCGUAAAGCGCGCGUAGGUGGCCAAUUAAGUCAAAUGUGAAAUCCCCGAGCUUAACUUGGGAAUUGCAUUCGAUACUGGUUGGCUAGAGUAUGGGAGAGGAUGGUAGAAUUCCAGGUGUAGCGGUGAAAUGCGUAGAGAUCUGGAGGAAUACCGAUGGCGAAGGCAGCCAUCUGGCCUAAUACUGACACUGAGGUGCGAAAGC